rnacentral:rRNA from 1 species
AACCUUUACACUGCACGACAGUGCGAUAGGGGGACUCCGAGUGCGAGGGCAUAUAGUCCUCGCUUUUCUGUACCGUAAGGUGGUACAGGAACAAGUGCUGGGCAAGACCGGUGCCAGCCGCCGCGGUAAUACCGGCAGCACGAGUGAUGGCCGAUAUUAUUGGGCCUAAAGCGUUCGUAGCCGGCCGGACAAGUUCGUUGGGAAAUCCACGCGCUCAACGCGUGGGCGUCCAGCGAAAACUGUCUGGCUUGGGGCCGGAAGACUCGAGGGGUACGUCCGGGGUAGGAGUGAAAUCCCGUAAUCCUGGACGGACCGCCGAUGGCGAAAGCACCUCGAGAGGACGGACCCGACGGUGAGGGACGAAAGCCAGGGUCUCGAACCGGAUUAGAUACCCGGGUAGUCCUGGCCGUAAACGAUGUCCGCUAGGUGUGGCGCAGGCUACGAGCCUGCGCUGUGCCGUAGGGAAGCCGUGAAGCGGACCGCCUGGGAAGUACGUCUGCAAGGAUGAAACUUAA